GCGGUUAUCGUAUAACGGCUAUUAUUCUUGGCUUCCAACCAAGGGAUGUGAGUUCGAUUCUCACUAGCCGCUCCA
rnacentral:tRNA from 1 species